AAUAAUUCUUACAAAUAUAUUUUUAAAAAAUAUUUACGAUGUCUAUAAAUGAUAAAUUUAAAGAUGUCUGACAGUGAAGUUGAGGAAAGUGAAGAAAUAAUUUACCGAUUUAAAAUAUUAAAAUUUAUUAAACGAGGAAGGAAGGGACUAAAGAAGGAAAUUGAUAUUGUUCCUGCAACAUGAACACGUUAGGAUAAUAAUACAAAAAGAUUGAAAGUACCAUUUCUUCCUACUCCAUAUACUAAUGAAGAAAUUGACUUACUUUGUGAUAUCGUGAAAUUAGAAUUUGAAGCACCAGAGUCGUGGCCUGUAUAUAAUGUGGAUAUUAUUGGUGAAUCAAUGACAUACACAGACGCAAUCAAACGACUCUUGCUUCUCGAGAGAACACAAAUGGCAUUUUUCCAAAAUUUGGAAGAUGACGAUGCAGAAAAAAUUAAAAGAGUGCAUAUAAACAUAAAAAACUUUUUAAAAAUAAAAAGGAAAUAAAAAAAUUAUUUUCUGAAGUUCCCCUGUUACAUAAAGAAACUUGCAAUCGUUCAGAUAGGUCCAAUUCAAAAACAAAGCCUCCAAAAGAAAAAUCAGAAAGUGAUGCAAGUGUGAGUUUGAAAAUACACAAAAGCCAGAUGUUUAAUUCAUAAAAUUUCUAUACCUACUUAAUGGCAGAGUAUGCAAAAUUUGAUCAAAUUUUAUAAUAAAAUUUAUUUUUUUAUUGACGAUUUGUUGGCAUAAUAUAGUUUAAAUUUAAUUCUUCUGUGUGUAACUUUAAAUA
rnacentral:lncRNA from 13 species